UACGUAGGUGGCAAGCGUUAUCCGAAUUUAUUGGGCGUAAAGAGAACGCAGGCGGUCUUUUAAGUCUGAUGUGAAAGCCUUCGGCUUAACCGGAGUAGUGCAUUGGAAACUGGGAGACUUGAGUGCAGAAGAGGAGAGUGGAACUCCAUGUGUAGCGGUGAAAUGCGUAGAUAUAUGGAAGAACACCAGUGGCGAAAGCGGCUCUCUGGUCUGUAACUGACGCUGAGGUUCGAAAGCGUGGGUAGCAAACAGG
rnacentral:rRNA from 1 species